AUGAUAUAAUGAAACAACAUUGUGGAGAGGAAAGCAUUAGGGGAGCCCACGGCUACAAAAACAAGUGAGUGAGAAGAGGUGGGAGGAAGAGAAACUACGCCACCUCCCCUGCAGCCGAGUGCACGCAGCAGCCUGGCGUGACAAGUGGGCGACGCCGGGGGGCAGGGAGCCGGGGUCCUUGGCCCUGGCCGGGGACCCCACCGCCCACCGCGCGGAGGACAACUUUUAGCCGGCAGCCCAGACCAGCGCGGCACCUGUCUCCGGAGUCUCCACCGCUCCUCCCGAUUCAUCCCAGGGAAAUUCUCAAGAAUACGCUCUACAAAUCUACGUGCGCAUCAUUUUCACCUCGCGUCGCGCCCGGGAGGAAGGAACGAGGCAAGGAGCUAAAGCAGCGUGCGUUCAGCCCUGGGGCAUUUUAUUAAUGCUUUUACGAGUUAGAAGAGUUGGGAUAAUUUGCCAUCUGGAGUUUCUCUGCCUUGCUGAUCUGAGCUCAGACCUGCCAAUUUACCAGAGAUAAUUGAUAACACCCUGUAACAGCUGACUUUCUGUUCACGUGUCUACAUUUGAAGUUACUGCAUUCAGAAUGAAAGCCAUACAUCUGACCUCACAAUGAGGAAAAUGGAAGAAACGGAGAUACUUUUAGUGAAGCAGAAUAAACCACUGAACAGGAAAAAUGAGGAAGCUGUGAGUACCAGUGGAAGGAACGAGCCAGGAAGAGGGACUGGAACCAUCUCAGAAGCCAUGCCCCUCAGGCUGGAACUUGCCCUGUCUCCUCGCAGAUGAGCUACCUCUUGUGUUUAAGAAUUAAAGGAAGAUGAGCUAGGAAUCAAGAAAUACGCAGAACUGAUUCCUGUCACUGGCGCCACCCUGCCACUUGCCCAGAGCUGUGGUAUAAAUUUUUUUAAUAGGCUGAAAUAAAAAUAUGAAUAGCAUUUUGGUAUUAAGCAUUAAAUUGAUAAAGGCUAUGAGAUACACCUGCUCUCAACCAUGUUAAUUUUUUAUUAUUGGUAUUAAUAAAUUAUUACUUACUAACAUAUUAACAAGAAUUGCAUUGAGAAACAAAGCAUCCACAGGCCAAAUCUUCUGAAUUUCAAAUGUUUAUAUUAAUGCGUUGUAUUCUAGAAAAGUAGAAUUGUCUUAAGUAGCUUUGUAAUAUAAAGUCAUCUAUCAGCCCAUUACACCUAUUAGAAUGUUUUAACCUUUAUUUCCCACUUUUUUGUUUCUAGACUGAGUGUACUUGGUCUGGUAUUUGUGGCAUAACUUACGGAACACAUAAGAAUGAUACAGAUACUAUUUAAUGAUGACCUAAUACAAGCUUAGAUAGCUAAGGUGAAAGCUUCUAUGGCCUUAACAUUUUCCUCUUGAAGAAUGUAUUUUCUGUAAUAAAAUACAGUGGCUACUUGAAAUCUAUAAACUUAUGUGAGGUCUGGAUAAAUCUGAGCAACUUUCUUCUUUGUGCUCCAGGAACCUACGCACUAUAUAUAUAAAUAAAGCUUAAGUAAACAUCA
rnacentral:lncRNA from 1 species